UGAAGCAGGACAGAUGGCCGCUCUUUUUCGAAAGGGAGGAAAGUCCGGGCUCCAUAGGGCAUGACGCUGGAUAACGUCCAGCGGGGGCGACCCCAGGGCAGAGUGCCACAGAGAGAAGUCCGCCUGCCACGGCAGGUAAGGGUGAAAGGGUGAGGUAAGAGCUCACCGGGUCCGGCGGCGACGCCGGAUGCCAGGUAAACCCCGUCAGGAGCAAGGCCAAAUAGGGAGGCGCUAAGGGCUGCCCGCCCAUGCCUCCGGGUUGGCUGCUUGAGGCUGCCGGUAACGGCAGUCCCAGAUGAAUGACCAUCGCCCGGUGAGGGGUAACCCGCUCCGGGAACAGAACCCGGCUUAUGGACUGCUUCAACCA
rnacentral:RNase_P_RNA from 1 species